rnacentral:rRNA from 1 species
AUUGAACGCUGGCGGCGUGCUUAACACAUGCAAGUCGAUCGGUAACGCGGGGGCAACCCUGGCGACGAGAGGCGGACGGGUGAGGAACGCUUGGGAAUCUGCCUAUCAGCGGGGGACAACCCGGGGAAACUCGGGCUAAUACCGCAUACGCUCUACGGAGGAAAGCCGGGGACCGCAAGGCCUGGCACUGAUAGAUGAGCCCAAGUCGGAUUAGCUAGUUGGCGGGGUAACGGCCCACCAAGGCGACGAUCCGUAGCUGGUCUGAGAGGACGAUCAGCCACACUGGGACCGAGACACGGCCCAGACUCCUACGGGAGGCAGCAGUGGGGAAUAUUGGACAAUGGGGGAAACCCUGAUCCAGCGACGCCGCGUGGGUGAAGAAGGCCUGCGGGUUGUAAAGCCCUUUCGGUAGGGACGAAAGCUCUCGACCUAACACGUCGGGAGGUUGACUUAACCUACAAAAGAAGCACCGGCUAACUCUGUGCCAGCCGCCGCAGUAAGAC